UGACUGCUUAAGUGCUCAACAAUUGAAAUCUAAAUUAAUCAUGAAAUUUAUCGCUUCUUGCUUAACUCUAACUCUAUUACACUUCGUUGGCUUCGUCAUUAGCGCACCAGUCGCUCAAGUCGACACGGUGAUAAACGCGGUAUUGGAAGCAGUUGGAUCAUUGUCUGGAACAUUCACUGGAGGCUAGGAAUAUUUCAUAAUGAAUACCGCAAUAUUUGUUUUCUAUCGAUUAAACAUUAUGAACACGUA